rnacentral:lncRNA from 1 species
UGAGCCACCCAGGUGCCCCUAGUUUUAAAAAUGUUUUAAUGCUUAUUUUUGAGAGAGAGAGAGAGUAAGAGAGAGAGAGGAGAGGGAGAGGGAGAGGGAGAGAGAGAGAGCACGCAUAGGCAGGGGAGGAGCAGAGAGAAAGGGAGACAAAAGAUCUGAAGAGGUCUCUGCGAUGACAGCCCAGAGCCCGACGCGGGGCUCGAACUCACGAACCGUGAGACCGUGACCUGAGCCGAAGUCAGAUGCUUAACCCACUGAGCCACCCAGGCGCCCCCAUUUGUUGCCUGUGACAUUUCUCUGAGUACGUCCCCGGAUGGCAGCAUCAGCAGCACCUGUGAGCUCGGUGGAUAUUCAGGUUCUCAGGUGCCAUCCAGACCCAGCAACCCGGCCACUCUGGGUCUGGCACCCAGGAACGUGUGUGUGAACAAGCCUUCCGGGCCUGCGCUGUCCCGUGUGGGGGCCGCCGGCCUUGCUGUGGCUUCUGAGGUGGCUGGGAAGACGCACUGGACUUGGCGACCUCGUAUGAAAGAUGCACGUCAAAUACUGCAUUACAUUUUCUUGGUACUGGUUACAUGUUGAAAGAAUAAUAUUUUCGAUACAUUGAGCUACCUAAAAUAUAUUGUCAAACUUCAUUUUACCUGCUUCCUCUUACUUUGUUUAGAGUGGUUUCGAGAAAAUUUAAAGCCACCGACGUGGCUUGUCCCAGGCGAUUCUGAGGCACGUUGACAUAUGAGGACAGCGCCCUACCGGCUCAGGGCUUGGAGAAGCUUGAGGGACACCAGGAAUCAUUUCCAGGAGAGGCGGGCCGCGAGCCACAGGCCAGGAAAAGGAAGGUCUGAUUCUCUGCAAGGACCAGAGGCGGGUACCAAUCUCGGGAAGUGUUUGUGUUCUGGUGGCAGAAUCGUCUCUGGUUCCAGCGUGAGAUGAGAUGAUGGGGAAGCCGAUGAGGCAGAAGGUCUACAAAAAUCGUGGGCAGCCGUGCGGUGAGGUUAAAAGAAAUCUACCUACAGUUUGCCGGCCCCUCAGUUUUCUCCCCACACUUACCUCGGCUUUGUCAGUGUCACAGCGUCAAGGUAGAAAAGGAUAAAGGAUGCCCAAGUCAUGCUGCCGAUCAGGCACUGGUAGGGCCUUUGUUAGAAUGUUUCCUCAGGAGAGUGAUGGCUUUGCUUUUGGUCCUCCAUGUCAUCUGGCUUCUUCUCUUUGGAUCGAAGUCUCUCUCCCUCGGCACUGUUGACAUUUUGGGCUGAGUCAUUCCUUGGAGUAAGGCUGUCCUGUGCAUUAUAGGAGGCUUAGCAGAAUCCCCAGCAUCUACCCCCGGGUGCAUCCAUUCGUAGCAGACCCCACCCCCAGCUGAGAUCAUUGAAAGUGUCCCAGAUAUUGCCGGAUGUCCCCAGCCAGGGGAAGGGAGUCGUGACCUA